AUCCAGCCGACGAGUCCCAAAUUGGACGAAACGCGCGUCAAACUGGAU
rfam:Schistosoma mattheei strain Denwood, Zambia genome assembly, scaffold: SMTD_scaffold0021246